rnacentral:rRNA from 1 species
GAUGAACGCUGGCGGCGUGCCUAAUACAUGCAAGUCGAGCGAACAGGCGAGGAGCUUGCUCCUCUGACGUUAGCGGCGGACGGGUGAGUAACACGUGAAUAACCUACCUAUAAGACUGGGAUAACUUCGGGAAACCGGAGCUAAUACCGGAUAAUAUAUUGAACCGCAUGGUUCAAUAGUGAAGGACGGUUUCGCUGUCACUUAUAGAUGGAUCCGCGCCGCAUUAGCUAGUUGGUAAGGUAACGGCUUACCAAGGCAACGAUGCGUAGCCGACCGGAGAGGGUGAUCGGCCACACUGGAACUGAGACACGGUCCAGACUCCUACGGGAGGCAGCAGUAGGGAAUCUUCCGCAAUGGGCGAAAGCCUGACGGAGCAACGCCGCGUGAGUGAUGAAGGUCUUCGGAUCGUAAAACUCUGUUAUUAGGGAAGAACAAAUGUGUAAGUAACUAUGCAGGUCUUGACGGUACCUAAUCAGAAAGCCACGGCUAACUACGUGCCAGCCGCCGCCGUAA